rnacentral:rRNA from 1 species
CGGGUGCGUAACGCGUGGGAAUCUGCCCCUUGGUUCGGAAUAACAGUUAGAAAUGACUGCUAAUACCGGAUAACAUCGCGAGAUCAAAGAUUUAUCGCCGAGGGAUGAGCCCGCGUAGGAUUAGCUAGUUGGUGAGGUAAUGGCUCACCAAGGCGACGAUCCUUAGCUGGUCUGAGAGGAUGAUCAGCCACACUGGGACUGAGACACGGCCCAG